CCCGCAGGCUGUCCCACCUCUCGCUGCGCAAUAAUGGCCUCGGUGACGAGGCGGCGCGGCUGCUGGGGCUGAGCCUCUCCACCCUCGGCUCCUCCAACCGCAGCCUGGUCUCGCUGGUGCUCAGCUUCAACCACAUCUCGGAUUUGGGAGCGGGGCACAUCGCCCAGGUGGGGGCUAUGGGGUGGGCGAGGGGGGGCCCCGCUGUCUGUGUGCCCCCCCCCCUUCCCCUCUCAGCUUUUUCUGUGCGCCCCCCAUCCCCAAGGGUUUGCGCUGGAACCGCUCGCUGCUGUCGCUGUCCCUGGCGCACAAUGACAUUGGGGAUGAGGGGGCUCUGCGGCUGGCUCAGGUGCUGGCUCCUUUCGCUCUGACGCACGCCGAGGUGGUGGAACGGCGGCGGCUGCUGCUGGCGGAGGCCAUGGAGAAGCCCCAGGCGCCCGAGGGCAGGAGCGAGCGCGCCCCGAGCCUGCAGAGCGGCGCGGCCACCGAGAGGCUGCUCCCGGCCAAGCACAGCAAGAGCACGGCCAAAAAGAAGGAGCUGCCGCGGAAGGACGAGCUGAAACAGCCCAAAAAAUCUGUGACAGCCCCUGCAGACCCCCGGCCCCCCCGAAGCCGCAGUGCCAAAGCCACCAGCAAGGAGAAGCGCAGCUCGGAGGCGCAGGAUGCGGCCGAGCCCUCGCACCCGCUGCUGGAGCCGGCGUGGCACCGCCAGGGCCAGGUCGUGGUGCCGGGGAACCGAGCGCUGCUCAACCUCAACCUGUGCCAGGAACCGCUUCAAUCCCACCUGCGAGGCUUUCGCCCAGCUCCAGGAGCUGCUGCAGCGGCGCGACCCCGUCCCCAAACCGCGGGAGGAGCAGGCGCCGGGUCCUUAAAGCAGGAUUCGGGGCUCUUUUUUGGGGUGAAAAACCCCAAAAAAAGGCAAAACCGAAAAAUCUUGACUGUGGGGAGGAAGGAAAUAAAGCACCGUGCACAGGAUUGAACAGCAACCGGUCGGGCUUGGCUCUAUUAUAUAUAAUAUAUAUACCACACCC
rnacentral:lncRNA from 1 species